CCUACGGGAGGCAGCAGUGGGGAAUAUUGCACAAUGGGGGAAACCCUGAUGCAGCGACGCCGCGUGAGUGAAGAAGUAUUUCGGUAUGUAAAGCUCUAUCAGCAGGGAAGAAAAUGACGGUACCUGAUUAAGAAGCCCCGGCUAACUACGUGCCAGCAGCCGCGGGAAUACGUAGGGGGCAAGCGUUAUCCGGAUUUACUGGGUGUAAAGGGAGCGUAGACGGCAGCACAAGUCUGGAGUGAAAUGCCGGGGCUUAACCCCGGAACUGCUUUGGAAACUGGGCAGCUAGAGUGCAGGAGAGGUAAGUGGAAUUCCUAGUGUAGCGGUGAAAUGCGUAGAUAUUAGGAGGAACACCAGUGGCGAAGGUGGCUUACUGGACUGUAACUGACGUUGAGGCUCGAAAGCGUGGGGAGCAAACAGGAUUAGAUACCCUGGUAGUC
rnacentral:rRNA from 1 species